GGAACUGUAGCUCAGUGAUAGUGUCUCCGCUUGGCAUGCAGAAGUUCCCAGGUUCAAUCCCCAGCAUCUCCA
rnacentral:tRNA from 1 species